rnacentral:rRNA from 1 species
GAUGAACGCUGGCGGCGUGCCUAAUACAUGCAAAUCGAGCGAACAGACGAGGAGCUUGCUCCUCUGACGUUAGCGGCGGACGGGUGAGUAACACGUGGAUAACCUACCUAUAAGACUGGGAUAACUUCGGGAAACCGGAGCUAAUACCGGAUAAUAUAUUGAACCGCAUGGUUCAAUAGUGAAAGACGGUUUUGCUGUCACUUAUAGAUGGAUCCGCGCCGCAUUAGCUAGUUGGUAAGGUAACGGCUUACCAAGGCAACGAUGCGUAGCCGACCUGAGAGGGUGAUCGGCCACACUGGAACUGAGACACGGUCCAGACUCCUACGGGAGGCAGCAGUAGGGAAUCUUCCGCAAUGGGCGAAAGCUUGACGGAGCAACGCCGCGUGAGUGAUGAAGGUCUUCGGAUCGUAAAACUCUGUUAUUAGGGAAGAACAAAUGUGUAAGUAACUAUGCACGUCUUGACGGUACCUAAUCAGAAAGCCACGGCUAACUACGUG